UAUCCACAACUGAAAUGCAAAUGGACAGAAAUUCAAAAUCUUCAGCUUCAAACGACGAAUCAAUUAAGCUCGCCGUCGCCAUUUCUCUUCUCCGAUCAAAGCUCCCUUAGUCAAAAUCAAAGCACUCAGCCUUCUUCUGAAUCCGAUGCACUUCGCUGGAAGCGGAAGGCGAAGGAACGGAAGCAAGAUCUCAUCAGGCUGAGAGAGGAUCUAAGAGAAGCUGAAGGUUGGGGAAAUUAAGCCCUAAGAUCGACGGAGAUGCCUCUUAUCGUCGGUUCAAUGACGUUCUUCGCCGCAGAUUUCUCAGACAAGUUCAUUUUUAUUUAUUCUUUUAUUGUUGUUUUAAUGAUAAUUAUCAACUACCGUUGCUGUUUUUGUUAAAAUGUUUGUUAAUUUUGUACUGAGACUGAAGGAAAGGAGGAGAAGAACAGGCGAUUCCAAUCAACGACGACGUUUUACAGGCAUAUUAUGGAAAAGUGCAUUCUAUUUUGAAGUUCAUUUACUUAAUAUAUAGUUAAUUUUUUGCUAAUUUUAAUUUACAUUGGAACGAUAAAUUGAAAUGUUAGUUUAUAACAUAUUACAAGCUUGAUAGUCUAAUAUUAUAGUUCCACAUUCAAUUUUAUGACGUUUUUCGACGUUUUGAUUUGUUAUAUUUUAAUGUCAAAAUGAGGAACUUAUGACAUUCUAGAGUAACCAAGUUAGAUUUUGCUUUCUUGAUAGCUGUUGGGGAAUUUCUUUGACAUUACGUCUCUGAAUUCAUGAGUAUUUAAGAGCAAGAAUGGUGUUUAGUAUAAACCUGUUUGAUGUAAAUUUUUGUUACAAAUACAGAGUUGAGCUAUGAAGAUCAUGUGGAGCAGCUUAGGGCCUCUGUUGAUUUUUCUGUGGAGCUUUGCGACACUGUUUCUCCGGUUAGAGGAACCUGCUGAAAUUUCCCUAUGUGCUCUAUAUCAUCACUGCCGUAUUGUAUUCACAUAUGUUGGGUGCCUUAUAUUUUUGCAGGCAAAGGAGGGCAAUUUUGCAAAUUGGUCUCACCAAACUUUGGACUUCAUUUUAGUCUUUGUCUUGAAGCAUCAUUGAGGAAUCUAUUAACAGAGGGAAAGAGCAAAGAAGUCAUUGAAGGAAUAGUCAGCAGCUUAAUUGUGCAGUCAGUUAAAAGAAUGUGUUCCUCCUUGAAAGAAGAUGGUAUACUUGCCUGUGCUUUAAAAUACUCUUUUUAACAUUUUUUUUAUAGAUAUAUGUUGUUUAAAGGUUUAAGAACUCUUUUUCUUAUCACUUUAUAGUGAUAUUCAUUAGUAGGAGCAUCAAAUCAUUGCAAGAUUUCUAUUUUUCCAGCGAAUGUUACCAUUAUGAACUUUUUAGUUUUGCCAUUUUCUCAGUUUUUAUUUUCAAGGUGCUGACUCAGAGUCGCUUCAUAUUGACGACAAUUCUCAAUUCUGUAUUCAACACCUGAUCCCCAAGG